AGGGGAGUGGGAACUGGAUAUAUUCCAGUUCACCAUAGAGCAAGUGAGUCGUGUUUGGUAGAGGGAACCACAUGGUAAACUUAGGCUACCGACCCACUCCGGCUCUGAUUGUUUUGAGAACAUUAUUGUUGCUGCUCAAAUACAGGACCUGUUGUCCUAGAGAUGUUCAGAUGAGGUGUUUGUUGGUGCUUUCAACAUUCUUUAUGCUUCUCAUUGGCGAGUGAACUAUAUGUGUACAAUUGGAACGACGGUCAGUGACUCUUAAAUUCCUCAUCGUACUACAGUUUUCCCAGUGUGAGGAAGUGGAUAUUAUUGCAUCGCACUCAAAUCCGUCUACGCAACAUUCACCCAACCAUCUAUAUCAUUUACACAGACUGUUUACAUUCAAUGACUGCUUGGUUUUGGAUAUUGAUUACUUUUGUUUGUGUGGACUAUAUACUAUAUACACAUGUAGAGAAAUUAAACGAGAAGGAAAAAGGG